rnacentral:misc_RNA from 1 species
AACGCAUAUUGCGCCCGUUAGUAUUCUAGCGGGCAUGCCUGUUCGAGCGUCAUUUCAACCCUCAAGCCUUGCUUGGCGUUGGGGCUUUAUAGUUAUUAUAAGCCCUGAAAAUUAGUGGCGGGCUCGCUAAAACUCCGAGCGUAGUAAUACUUCUCGCUUAGGACGUUUAGCGGGUUUCUGGCCGUUAAACCCCCUAAAUUAUAAAAGGUUGACCUCGGAUCAGGUAGGAAUACCCGCUGAACUUAA